rnacentral:lncRNA from 1 species
AAACCUAUGUAUUUAGGGUUUGAUGGACUUGACUAUCCGAUGAUGGAAACCAAAUGGAAUAUAAGCUCAAGGCUCAUCUCAUAUAAACUCAAGCAAGUGUCUACAAAAGAAAGCAUUUGACAAAGUCUUGAAGUGCCACAAAAACCCUACCUUAGUUUGAGUGAAUAUUGUGUAAAGCAAAAGGGUAUUCUCGUAGAAGUACAUGACUACGCACACACACACACACGCAUGCAAGGAUGCACACACACACUCACGCACGCACGCC